AGCGAACAUUGGCGGUAGGCUUAACACAUGCAAGUCGAGCGAGGCGUAAUAGUCGAGCGGCGAACGGGUGAGUAAUACAUGGGAAUCUACCUCGAAGUGGGGGAUAACAGCAAGAAAUGGCUGCUAAUACCGCAUAAUCCGGGAACGGGAAAGCGGGCUGCGCUUGGAGAUGAGCACAUGGCUGAUUAGCUAGUUGGUGGGGUAAAGGCCUACCAAGGCGACGAUCAGUAGCUGGUCUGAGAGGAUGAUCAGCCACACUGGAACUGAGACACGGUCCAGACUCCUACGGGAGGCAGCAGUGGGGAAUCUCGCGCAAUGGGGGCAACCCUGACGCAGCCAUACCGCGUGUGCGAUGAAGGUCUUCGGAUUGUAAAGCACUUUCAGUAGGGACGACGAUGACGGUACCUACAGAAGAAGUCACGGCUAACUUCGUGCCAGCCGCCGCGGUAA
rnacentral:rRNA from 1 species